rnacentral:lncRNA from 1 species
GCCGAUUCAAUAUUGGGGAACAUCAUACGGUCCACCCUCUGCUGAGUGAUCUCACUCAUAUAAAGGUUCAGCCAUAGGUUGAGGAACCACCAGGGUCCGCCUGGAUUUCCGAUCGGCUCUCCCUUGGAUAGUCUGACGCCGAUUUGGUGGAGCAUGUGGUACGCUGCCCCUAGCAGGUGUUUCCCAAGGGGGACACGGUUUCCUCUGGACAGUGCUUCUGCUAAAGCCUGGGUGUUGG